UACAGAGGGGGCGAGCGUUGUUCGGAAUUACUGGGCGUAAAGGGCGCGUAGGCGGCCUUCUAAGUCGAACGUGAAAUCCCCGGGCUCAACCCGGGAACUGCGUCCGAUACUGGAAGGCUUGAAUCCGGGAGAGGGAUGCGGAAUUCCAGGUGUAGCGGUGAAAUGCGUAGAUAUCUGGAGGAAUACCGGUGGCGAAGGCGGCAUCCUGGACCAUUACUGACGCUGAGGCGCGAAAGCUAGGGGAGCAAACGGG
rnacentral:rRNA from 1 species